GUUCUAAUUUAGUCUGUCUGGUUUGAUUUGGCGUUUUGUGUGAAUGAUUGUUGUUGUUGUUAUUUGUGGUUUUUUUUGAUGUUUUGUUGGGCGACUUUGAUCAUCACCAUCAAGUGACUUGGAGUAUUGUUUUUUUUUAUCGACAACCAACGACUCUUUUUUUUAAAAAAAUUUCUAGUUUCCCUUCUAUUAUUCAUACAACCAAUAGCCAACGCCUUAAUACCUCGGUUUUGGCUCCGUGCUUGGCUCGACAUUUACUUGGCACAAUAAGGCUCGAUAUACUACGGCACGGCUUGUCUCCCUUGUUUCUCUCGGUUUUCUUUUUUGAUUUUUUCCUUGUGAUGUGAUGAUGGUUUAUAUUGUCGAUUCACAAAUUUUCUCUGGUUUUUGUUGGUGAUUCAUAAUAAGAGGAAUCGUCGUCACAUGCAGCACAACAACACAUUAUGUUAGGUCUUGAUAAUUUUCUCUGAAAAACAAACAAAUUCUGGCCUUCUUGGAUCAAAUCAAAA